AAAUAAUUUGAGAAUCAACGGGAUGGCACUGCGAGUAUAUCACAUGAUCUUCCGAAUGGUUAACCUGUACGCUGAUAAUUAUAUGACAGCACCCAGACGAUUGCAACUGCUGAGAUUCCUAUGCGUGCUGAUACUUCAUUUUACGAUUAGUAAAGUGAAUACUACUGGAAGUAAAUGUCAUCAUUUCGGAGUAUGAGAAUGAAAGUGAAUUAUCAAGAGCAGAGGGGCUAGACUGAUGGGUAGAACAUUGGAUUCAAUCGAGAGAUAAGCAACAUCAUACUUGGUUGUUUUUUUGAAUGAAU
rnacentral:misc_RNA from 1 species